CCGGCCCUGCCCUCCCGGACGCCUGGGUCCCGAAUGCGGCCUUGGGUCGCUCCCCCUGCGCUGGGAGUGGGGUCCCGCCGUGGGGGGCUGGGAGCGUGUGUCACAGGAGAUCACCCCCCCCCCCAGGCUGUGUAUGGUGUGUGUGUGUGUCAGAGCAGCGCUCGCUCUGUGUCUGUGCGCGUUACAGGCAAGGAGCUCACACCCAUAUCCCUGCCCAGUGUCAUAGGAAGGGCGGCUGCCCCACACAGAUGUCAUGUUCUGGCCUCGGGGCUCAUCCCGGCUGGCUACCCCAGCCCCUGUACAUCGGGCCGAGCUCCGAUGCCACCUACACCAGCUGCAACAAAUGGUCCAAGUUUAAACACAUCAAGGGCCUGCGGGACGCCCAGCACAGCCGGUUCUUCCUGUGGUUCAUGCAGCCGGAGGCCCUCGCCUGGCAGAGUACUUCAGUGUGCUUAAGUCCAAGCACUUGAGCAGUUCCAUUGAUUUCAGUGGGACCACUCACAUGCUUAUGUAAGCAGAGUCAGGAUGAGCUCUACCCUGACAUCUGGUGGUGAAUUAUGGCGAGUGUGGAAAAGAACUCCAGGGGCUGAUCUUGUUUGCAUAGGCACACCCAUCCGCCUGGCAUGAGACAACAGCAACUGAUAGUGGUUACUUUGGAUGGGGUGGGAUCCCCAGUUUCUCUGUUAUUGGGGCCGGAGGAAUAAAGUGUUGUUACCCUGAUUAUGUGAAUCAAGGACAAUGAAACUGUUUUAUGACAGAGGAUCUCUCCAUCACCUAAGUAGCACUCGCUAGACAAGGGACAUGGGUUCCACAACCCAGUGAAUUGAGAGAGGACGGGGAUAGGUAUUUGUACUUGAUGGUAUUGGGUUCCUUUGAGGGCCUGAAACACCAAUUGCAUCACUGUUGAAUGUCAGAGCUAACUUUGAUUCUAUUAAGAGUCUAGUUACAGGCUGCUAAGAUGAAUUCACCUUGGGCCAAUGGUGCACCAGCACUGGGGCUCCCCUACUAUGAGCUGAAAUCACAAAAGAGCUAAAGUUACUAAGAGCUGAGAUCACUGGCUGCUGUGUUAACUAGUGGGGGAGCCUGAAGCUAUAUUGCUAAGCGGCUGGCGGAGCAGCGAGUGGCGUGGAGCCUUGUGGGGAUGGAUGGGGUGGCCCAAGGAACAGCAAGCGGAGCUGUUUGUGGGGACGGCUGGAACGGCUCACAGGUUGGUGAAUGGAGCAGCUCGUAGAGCAGAGCAGUUUGUGGGACGGCAGCAAGUGGACUGGCUCAUGGCGAAGGCUGCGGCGGAACCCCACGGAGAGUUGGCAGCAACAAGGCCCUUUUACUCUGGGGCUGCACUGACCAGGGACAGAGACUUUGGGGGUUGUUGGACUUUGGGAGGUUGCUGGACCCAAGAGACUUUGGGGGUGUUGGACUUUGGGGACUCCGGGUGAUGUUUGGGUUGCUGGAUUCAAGAACCAAAGGGAAAGGACACGGCCCAGUUUGCUGGGGUGGGUCUUUUGCUCAUGGUUUGUGUUAGGAAUCCUGUUUGUGGUGUUUUUUUCCAAUUUAAUGCUGAUGUCGUUUACCUCAUGUUAUUAAACAUUUUCUGCUACACUC